AUGAUCUGCACUCUUCCUUCCAUUGCAGCACCAUCUCUGUCAACCUUCUCCCUUAAUUUGAGGAAUUUGGAUAUUGGGUAUUUACACAUUUGGAAAAUUUGGGUAUUUACUACUAAAACUACUAAUAAUUUGAAUAAUUUGAGUUUUGAUUCUUUACUACUAAAACUGGUCCUGGAAGUUGUGGAAUCCCUUCUUGUAGUUUUCUGAUAUAAAGCCAAAAGCUAGCGCGUUAUCAAAUCUUAAACAUUUGGCUCUAGUCCUGGCAUUAUUAAGAAAAUAUCAUGGUUGAUUGUUUUAUAUGAACACAACAUUUUCCAAGUACCUUUCCUAAAAUUAAAAAAUGAUGCCUUUAUUUGGCUCUGUUGCAGA
rnacentral:lncRNA from 1 species